CCUCCUACGGGGGGCAGCAUUGAGGAAUAUUGGUCAAUGGUCGGGAGCCUGAACCAUCCAAUCCGCUUGAGGGAAGAAGGUACAUCGUAUCGUAAACCUCUUUUGUCAGGGAACAAAGGCGGGGACUAGUCCCCGGAUGAGGGUACCUGAAGAAAAAGCAUCGGCUAACUCCGUGCCAGCAGCCGCGGUAAUACGGAGGAUGCGAGCGUUAUCCGGAUUUAUUGGGUUUAAAGGGUGCUCAGGCGGCCUGUUAAGUCAGCGGUAAAAGCCCGGGGCUCAACCCCGGCGAGCCGUUGAAACUGGCG
rnacentral:rRNA from 1 species